rnacentral:rRNA from 1 species
GGGCAGUGAGUGCGAGGAGCCGCGGGAAUACGGAAGGUGAUGUCGGUAUCGGGGUGUAUUGGGGUUAAAGGGGUGGUAGGCCGGAGAUGAAGCGUGUGGGGAAAUGUAGACGCUCAACGUCUGCACUGCAGCGCGAACUGGUGUCCUGGAGUACGCACAAAGUGGGCGGAAUUCGUGGUGUAGCGGUGAAAUGCUUAGAUAUCACGAAGAACUCCGAUUGCGAAGGCAGCUGACGGUAGCGCAACUGACGCUGAGGUUCGAAAGUGCGGGUAUCGAACAGGAUUAGAUACCCCAGUAGUC